GAUGAACGCUGGCGGCGUGCCUAAUACAUGCAAGUCGAGCGAACAGAUAAGGAGCUUGCUCCUUUGACGUUAGCGGCGGACGGGUGAGUAACACGUGGGUAACCUACCUAUAAGACUGGAAUAACUCCGGGAAACCGGGGCUAAUGCCGGAUAAUAUUUAGAACCGCAUGGUUCUAAAGUGAAAGAUGGUUUUACUAUCACUUAUAGAUGGACCCGCGCCGUAUUAGCUAGUUGGUGGGGUAAUGGCUUACCAAGGCAACGAUACGUAGCCGACCUGAGAGGGUGAUCGGCCACACUGGAACUGAGACACGGUCCAGACUCCUACGGGAGGCAGCAGUAGGGAAUCUUCCGCAAUGGGCGAAAGCCUGACGGAGCAACGCCGCGUGAGUGAUGAAGGUCUUCGGAUCGUAAAACUCUGUUAUUAGGGAAGAACAAAUGUGUAAGUAACUGUGCACGUCUUGACGGUACCUAAUCAGAAAGCCACGGGUAACUACGUGCCAGCA
rnacentral:rRNA from 1 species